AGCCACUGCCAGCAAGUCAAACUUUGGAGAGGAAAGGCCACAAAACCUUCCCUGUGGGGCAGGGCGACACAUUUCCCAUCCAGCUCUGAAACAUUGGCAGCCUUGAUGAUCUCAGAUUUUUCUGAAAUGAUACAAUGUCAUUUCCAAGCCUGAAGAUGUUAUCACCAGUCGAUGUUCUGAGAGUCCACUUCUCAGUGGACAUCUCGCCAUACUGUGCCUUGAUGGCCAUCCCCCCAACAAUAGGGCCCACAAAAUGCUGCCGUCUUAAAGUGCUAC